rnacentral:rRNA from 1 species
UACGUAGGAGGCAAGCGUUGUCCGGAAUUACUGGGCGUAAAGCGCGUGUAGGUGGUGGGACAAGUCUGCUGUGAAAGCGCCUGGCUUAACCGGGCGAGGUCGGCGGAAACUGUCCGACUCGAGGACGGUAGAGGGGGGUGGAAUUCCCGGUGUAGUGGUGAAAUGCGUAGAGAUCGGGAGGAACACCUGUGGCGAAGGCGGCCCCCUGGGCCGGCCCUGACACUGAGACGCGAAGGCGUGGGGAGCAAACAGGG